ACGUAGGUGGCAAGCGUUGUUCGGAAUCACUGGGCAUAAAGCGCGCGUAGGCGGCGAAGUAAGUCGGGUGUGAAAUCCCUCGGCUCAACCGAGGAACUGCGCCCGAUACUGCUUUGCUUGAGGGCCGGAGGGGAGAGUGGAAUUCCCGGUGGAGCGGUGAAAUGCGUAGAGAUCGGGAAGAACGCCGGCGGCGAAAGCGACUCUCUGGUCGGUACCUGACGCUGAGGCGCGAAAGCUAGGGGAGCAAACGGGA
rnacentral:rRNA from 1 species